UACGAAGGGGGCUAGCGUUGCUCGGAAUCACUGGGCGUAAAGGGUGCGUAGGCGGGUCUUUAAGUCAGGGGUGAAAUCCUGGGGCUCAACUCCAGAACUGCCUUUGAUACUGAGGAUCUUGAGUACGGGAGAGGUGAGUGGAACUGCGAGUGUAGAGGUGAAAUUCGUAGAUAUUCGCAAGAACACCAGUGGCGAAGGCGGCUCACUGGCCCGUUACUGACGCUGAGGCACGAAAGCGUGGGGAGCAAACAGG
rnacentral:rRNA from 1 species